GCUAGGUGUGGUGGUGCACAUCUGUAGUCCCAGCUACUCAGGAGGCUGAGGCAGGAGAAUCACUUGAGCUGAGGAGUCUGAAGCUGCAGUGAGCCAAGAUCGUGUUACUGCACUCCAGCCUGGGCAACAGAGUGAGACCCUGUCUCUA
rnacentral:sRNA from 1 species